AUUGAACGCUGGCGGCAUGCCUUACACAUGCAAGUCGAACGGUAACAGGUCUUCGGAUGCUGACGAGUGGCGAACGGGUGCGUAAUACAUCGGAACGUGCCUAGUAGUGGGGGAUAACUACUCGAAAGAGUGGCUAAUACCGCAUGAGAUCUACGGAUGAAAGCAGGGGAUCACAAGACCUUGUGCUACUAGAGCGGCCGAUGGCAGAUUAGGUAGUUGGUGGGAUAAAAGCUUACCAAGCCGACGAUCUGUAGCUGGUCUGAGAGGACGAUCAGCCACACUGGGACUGAGACACGGCCCAGACUCCUACGGGAGGCAGCAGUGGGGAAUUUUGGACAAUGGGCGAAAGCCUGAUUCAGCAAUGCCGCGUGCAGGAUGAAGGCCUUCGGGUUGUAAACUGCUUUUGUACGGAACGAAAAGCCCCGGGUUAAUACCCUGGGGUCAUGACGGUACCGUAAGAAUAAGCACCGGCUAACUACGUGCCAGCAGCCGCCGUAA
rnacentral:rRNA from 1 species